GACGAAGGUGACGAGCGUUGUUCGGUAUUACUGGGCUUAAAGCGUGUGUAGGCGGAAUUGUAAGCGUCAGGUGAAAUCCCCCGGCUUAACCGGGGAACUGCUUGACGAACUGCGUUUCUUGAGGCAAGUAGGGGUGCACGGAACUCUUGGUGGAGCGGUGAAAUGCGUAGAUAUCAAGAGGAACGCCGGUGGAGAAAUCGGUGCACUGGGCUUGUCCUGACGCUGAGACACGAAAGCGUGGGUAGCGAACGGGAUUAGAUACCCUUGUA
rnacentral:rRNA from 1 species